rnacentral:rRNA from 1 species
UACGAAGGGGGCUAGCGUUACUCGGAUUGACUGGGCGUAAAGGGCGCGUAGGCGGUCUGUACAGUCAGACGUGAAAUUCCUGGGCUCAACCUGGGGGCUGCGUUUGAUACGUGCGGACUUGAGUUCGGAAGAGGGUCGUGGAAUUCCCAGUGUAGAGGUGAAAUUCGUAGAUAUUGGGAAGAACACCGGUGGCGAAGGCGGCGACCUGGUCCGAUACUGACGCUGAGGCGCGAAAGCGUGGGGAGCAAACAGG